rnacentral:lncRNA from 1 species
UCUGACAGCAACUGGCAGCCAGAGUUGUGACAAAAACUAUGCGGGAAUUUCCAGCUUUAGCUUGAUCCCUGGGAAGAAGGGAUCAUCCUACAACACAGUUUUCUUCAGCACCAAAGAACUCCAUCUCUUAAUGAGACUGGUUGAAUAUUAAGCCAUCCUUCCCCCUGUCAGCCAUUGGAGAGCAGAAAUCUGCAUUGGAAGGAGGGUGCUGCAGUCCAGCCUCAGAGAGGGAGUCCUCCCAGUUGGUGUGGCAUCAGAGACCAUCUCCUCUAAUCAGCACGAAGCCAGUCCAAGCUGGGCAUGAGUGGGAAAAACAAAAGACCUUACUGUAUAAAAAUGUCUGCUUUAUUUGUGUCAAACAUGUCAGCUUCUUUGAGUGGCAUACCACUGGCUGUCAUCCCUUCCGUUUGGAUUGAAUAAAAUACCUCGGUGGCUUCUGCUUCAACAGAUGAGAUUUCUUUGAUUGGAGAACAUUGGGUUUUAGCUUUAAACGUCACUAGGCAUGGACUCACAGUAGCCUAGUGCUGGAUCUCACUAUCCACUUGUCAGGUUUUGGUAUCUGCGUGCUGUGUCUCGCUAUCUGUGGUCUGAAUCUCACUAUCCGUGAACCACUCUAAAUUGCUCGAUUUCAUUCUCACUUCCUUAAGAAAAUGAAAUAAGGACUAUUUGAUCUGGUUUGCUUGCUUCAAACCAAAAGGGGAAUGCAAAGCAGAGUGGAUGGUGAGCCCUAGUAUCACAAUGGCUAGAAAGGAAGGAGAAAGCUAAGUAACAUCUCCCACCGGAGUCUUUGCAAAUUGCAGCAAUACAUAGUAUAUUUGUUGAUGGCCCUUGUGGCAGAAUGUAAGCCGCUCUGAGUCCCCUCGGGGAGAAGGGCAGGGUAUAAAUGCAUGUAAUUAAUAAAUAAAUACAUGAAUUUAUUAUUGCAAACUGCAGGAUAUCCAAGGUGAGCUGGAUAUUUGCACACAACCAUUCCUCUUCCCUCGAACUAUGCUCCCCAAAACUUGAGAAAUUUCCCCCUUGUUUUCCACAUGAAGAUAUCCCAUCGAAACUAAUGACUCAAAGCCAGGCCCUAAUAUCUGGCAACUCUAUUG